GCCAGUGUGGCUCAGUGGGUAGAGCGUCUACCUAUGAACCAGGAGGUCAUGGGUUCGAUUACCAGUCAAGGGCA
rnacentral:tRNA from 1 species